rnacentral:rRNA from 1 species
GGGAAUUGUUCGCAAUGGGCGAAAGCCUGACGACGCAACGCCGCGUGGAGGAUGAAGGUCUUCGGAUUGUAAACUCCUGUCGAGCGGGACGAACACCUUUCGAGUGAAUAGCUCGAGAGGCUGACGGUACCGCGAGAGGAAGCCCCGGCUAACUCUGUGCCAGCAGCCGCGGUAAUACAGAGGGGGCAAGCGUUGUUCGGAAUUACUGGGCGUAAAGGGCGCGUAGGCGGCUUGCUAAGUCAGACGUGAAAUCCCUCAGCUUAACUGGGGAACUGCGUCUGAUACUGGCGAGCUUGAAUUCGGGAGAGGGAUGUGGAAUUCCAGGUGUAGCGGUGAAAUGCGUAGAUAUCUGGAGGAACACCGGUGGCGAAGGCGGCAUCCUGGACCGAUAUUGACGCUGAGGCGCGGAAGCCAGGGGAGCAAACGGGAUUAGAUACCCCGGUAGUCCUGGCCCUAAACGAUGAAUGCUUGGUGUGGCGGGUAUCGAUCCCUGCCGUGCCGAAGCUAACGCAUUAAGCAUUCCGCCUGGGGAGUACGGUCGCAAGGCUG